rnacentral:tRNA from 1 species
GCAGUGGUAAUUUAAUGGUAGAUUUCUCAUCUAUCAUGUGGGAGACCUGGGUUCGAUUCUCAGCCAAUGUA